UUCCCGUGAGAACUCACCCCCUCUGCAGCAUCCCGAACCCCACAAGACCGCUGAGCCCAGAGCCCGUGUGGGCAGCAUGUGCUCUAGAGUGAGACCUGGCACCUCUCAUUCCUUUGAUCAACGAGUAAAGCUUCCCUUUGCUCCAGAACCCAAUCUGGUCUCAUUCUACUGGCUCUCAAGACACCAGGCAGGAAGACCUUCGUUGGCAUCUGACUCAAAAAGACUGAAAAGCAAAGGCUGGUGAUCCUCCUCAGGUCUCAGCUGACGUACCCAUCUGUACCUGCAGCCCAUGGCUGGUGGGACACACCCCCAACAAGAGCACUGGUCAUCCUCCCCAAAACUCCACACCCUGGCAAACCAUGAGAAAACUCUUGAGCCAAACUCAAAUUAAGGAACCGCCUACAAAAUACUUGAUCAGCCCUCUUCCAAAGGUCAAGGUCAUCAAGGAAGGUAAGUCUGAGAAACUGUUACAGACUGGAGGGCCGGAGAAAACAUGAUGAUUAAA